CAACCUACCUAUCAGAGGGGAAUAACCCGUCGAAAGUCGGACUAAUACCGCAUAAAACAGGGGCACCGCAUGGUGAUAUUUGUUAAAGAAAUUCGCUGAUAGAUGGGCAUGCGUUCCAUUAGGUAGUUGGUGAGGUAACGGCUCACCAAGCCGACGAUGGAUAGGGGAACUGAGAGGUUGGUCCCCCACACUGGUACUGAGACACGGACCAGGCUCCUACGGGAGGCAGCAGUGAGGAUAUUGGUCAAUGGGCGGGAGCCUGAACCAGCCAAGUCGCGUGAAGGAAGAAGGAUCUAUGGUUCGUAAACUUCUUUUGCAGGGGAAUAAAGUGCAGGACGUGUCCUGUUUUGUAUGUACCCUGAGGAUAAGGAUCGGCUAACUCCGUGCCAGCAGCCGCGGUAAUACGGAGGAUCCGAGCGUUAUCCGGAUUUAUUGGGUUUAAAGGGUGCGUAGGUGGUUUGAUAAGUCAGCGGUGAAAGUUUGCAGCUUAACUGUAAAAAUGCCGUUGAAACUGUCGGACUUGAGUGUAAAUGAGGUAGGCGGAAUGCGUGGUGUAGCGGUGAAAUGCAUAGAUAUCACGAAGAACUCCGAUUG
rnacentral:rRNA from 1 species